CCCACUCAGUUGUGUUGGAUCUGCACGCGUUUCUGGAAUAUUCACGAACUGACUUUCUUCCUUGGAGCCUCCUGGAUAAUCCUCACCACCAGUCCCACAGUCACAGUGUAUCAGCGGGGCGUGCAGGGGAACAUCAGACCCUCGCUAGCAUCAUCAUCCCCCACCAUCCAGUGCAGCGGUUUUUCCUCCUCCUCCCCAGCUGGACGCCUCCUCUCUGCCUCGGCCCACCGUCAGCCUGCAAGCCCCGGAGAUGCGCGCUUCGACCCGGGUCGUUGGAUGGCGGUGUUCUCAGAGGAAUUACAUCCUCUUGUUUAUUUAAUUAUUAAUAUUUUUUAUUUCUGACCACGCCCCGCCCCCCUCCUCUGAGUCAGGUGACGCAGUAUUACAACCCUGCUGACGUAUCUUUCAUCGCGAGAGCUGGGAGUGGGAUGGGUAAACGGUUAAUAAAGCUUCUCUACAAACAAGCUUGAUU